rnacentral:rRNA from 1 species
CGAACGGGUGAGUAACGCGUGGGGAACCUGCCUCAAAGAGGGGGACAACAGCUGGAAACGACUGCUAAUACCGCAUAAGCCCACGGCUCGGCAUCGAGCAGAGGGAAAAGGAGUGAUCCGCUUUGAGAUGGCCUCGCGUCCGAUUAGCUGGUUGGUGAGGUAACGGCCCACCAAGGCGACGAUCGGUAGCCGGACUGAGAGGUUGAACGGCCACAUUGGGACUGAGACACGGCCCAG